ACCAGAUGGCAGUGUGGAUUCACCAUAGUAGCGUGGGAUGGUUGACGUCGCCUGAGGACUGAGUACAGAACCCCAGAGAGUCCCAAGGGAACUAUUGAUCCACGCCAUUUGAAUAACACGUCUUUAUACGCGGAAGUACGGAAGGCAGAGGACACUCACUGCGGGCCAUGCAUCAUCAUUAGGGAGCAAAAAGCAAUGGCAUGUCUUUAUUCCAAAGAAGCCUAGUAUACAAGAAGCAGUCUGUUAAAAUCGAAGAGAGACAGA